rnacentral:rRNA from 1 species
GAGUUUGAUCCUGGCUCAGAUUGAACGCUGGCGGCGUGCCUAACACAUGCAAGUCGAGCGGCAGCGCGGGAGCAAUCCUGGCGGCGAGCGGCGGACGGGUGAGUAACGCUUCGGAAUCUGCCUAUCAGUGGGGGACAACCCGGGGAAACUCGGGCUAAUACCGCAUACGUCCUAAGGGGGAAAGCAGGGGUCGUAAGACCUUGCGCUGAUAGAUGAGCCGAAGUCGGAUUAGCUAGUUGGUGAGGUAAAGGCUCACCAAGGCUACGAUCCGUAGCUGGUCUGAGAGGACGACCAGCCACACCGGAACUGAGACACGGUCCGGACUCCUACGGGAGGCAGCAGUGGGGAAUAUUGGACAAUGGGGGCAACCCUGAUCCAGCGACGCCGCGUGGGUGAAGAAGGCCUGCGGGUUGUAAAGCCCUUUCGUUGGGGAAGAACAGUUCCGACCUAAUACGUCGGGACCUUGACGUUACCCAAAAAAGAAGCACCGGCUAACUCUGUGCCAGCAGCCGCGGUAAUACAGAGGGUGCGAGCGUUAAUCGGAAUUACUGGGCGUAAAGCGCACGCAGAUGGCUUUGUAAGUCGGAUGUGAAAUCCCCGGGCUCAACCUGGGAACUGCAUUCGAAACUGCAUGGCUCGAGUGUGGAAGAGGGAAGCGGAAUUCCAGGUGUAGCGGUGAAAUGCGUAGAUAUCUGGAGGAACAUCAGUGGCGAAGGCGGCUUCCUGGUCCAACACUGACAUUCAGGUGCGAAAGC